UACGUAGGGGGCGAGCGUUGUCCGGAAUCAUUGGGCGUAAAGCGCGUGUAGGCGGCUCGUUGAGUCCGGUGUGAAACCUUGGGGCUCAACCCCAAGCCUGCACUGGAUACUGACGAGCUCGAGUCCGGGAGGGGAGAGCGGAAUUCCUAGUGUAGCGGUGAAAUGCGCAGAUAUUAGGAAGAACACCGGUGGCGAAGGCGGCUCUCUGGAACGGUACUGACGCUGAGACGCGAAAGCGUGGGGAGCGAACAGG
rnacentral:rRNA from 1 species